CGGGGGAGGCGGGAUCCUAGGCUGUGUCCCGGCGCCCUGUGCUCCGGGGCCUGCGCUGGUGGAUUCGCGCUCCCGGGCCGCAGCCCCCU
rnacentral:pre_miRNA from 1 species